rnacentral:lncRNA from 13 species
AAAACAUUCAACUGUAAGAUGAAGGUACACUGAAAGGUUUCUGUUGUUUUUCUUAAAGCCAUAUGCUCAUCAAGUUCUACAGUCUACUCCAUAUGUCUCCUUGGACAUCUGAUAAGCUUCAAAAUGAUGUGCAGUGGCUCACUCCUGUAAUCACAACACUUUGGAAGGCUGAGGCAGGAGGAUCGCUUAAGCUGAGGAGUUCAAAACCAGCUUGGUUCAAUCUCAUAGAUGUCCUGAAUUGA